rnacentral:rRNA from 1 species
GACGAACGCUGGCGGCGUGCUUAACACAUGCAAGUCGAACGGAAAGGCCCUGCUUUUGUGGGGUGCUCGAGUGGCGAACGGGUGAGUAACACGUGAGUAACCUGCCCUUGACUUUGGGAUAACUUCAGGAAACUGGGGCUAAUACCGGAUAGGAGCUCCUGCUGCAUGGUGGGGGUUGGAAAGUUUCGGCGGUUGGGGAUGGACUCGCGGCUUAUCAGCUUGUUGGUGGGGUAGUGGCUUACCAAGGCUGGGACGGGUAGCCGGCCUGAGAGGGUGACCGGCCACAUGGGGACUGAGAUGCAGCACAGACUCAUACGGGAGGCAGCAGGGGAGAAUAUUGCACAAUGGGCGGAAGCGUGAUGCAGCAACGCCGCGUGCGGGAUGACGGCCUUCGGGUUGUAAACCGCUUUCGCCUGGGACGAAGCGUGAGAGGCGGUAAGGAGUAAAGGAUCACCGGCUAAAGACG